CCUACGGGAGGCAGCAGUGAGGAAUAUUGGUCAAUGGACGAGAGUCUGAACCAGCCAAGUAGCGUGAAGGAUGACUGCCCUAUGGGUUGUAAACUUCUUUUAUAUGGGAAUAAAACAGGGUAUGCAUACCCUCUUGUAUGUACCAUAUGAAUAAGGAUCGGCUAACUCCGUGCCAGCAGCCGCGUUAAUACGGAGGAUCCGAGCGUUAUCCGGAUUUAUUGGGUUUAAAGGGAGCGUAGGUGGAUUGUUAAGGCAGUUGUGAAAGUUUGUGGCUCAAACGUAAAAUUGCAGUUGAAACUGGCAGUCUUGAGUACCGUAGAGGUGGGCGGAAUUCGUGGUGUAGCGGUGAAAGGCUUAGAUAGCACGAAGAACUCCGAUUGCGAAGGCAGCUCACUGGACUGCAACUGACACUGAUGCUCGAAAGUGUGGGUAUCAAACAGGAUUAGAUACCCGAGUAGUC
rnacentral:rRNA from 1 species